rnacentral:misc_RNA from 1 species
GGAAUUUCUCCAUUUUGGUAGGUACCUAAUUAUAUUUGUAAUCAUUUUGAUUGGAUGAGCAAAUUGGCAAAUGAAUGGUAUGGAAAUAAUGAUUUCUAUAUUCUGAGAUAUUUUUAUCUUUAACCCAAUACAGAUUUAUGCUAAUUGAUCAACUUGUAAUUUUGGAGUAAAUAUAGAUUUAUGCUAAUUGAUCACCUUGCACUUAACAUUGAAAUAUCUGCUAUCAGUAUCUAUAUCUUUAAAUAGCUUUUAUUCAUGGCUUUGAUUCUAAAGACUGAUUUGGCAGCAUAAUUUUGCUUUCUCAUUGA